rnacentral:rRNA from 1 species
GACGAACGCUGGCGGCGUGCUUAACACAUGCAAGUCGAACGGUAAGGCCCUUCGGGGUACACGAGUGGCGAACGGGUGAGUAACACGUGGGUGAUCUGCCCUGCACUUUGGGAUAAGCCUGGGAAACUGGGUCUAAUACCGGAUAGGACCACUGCCUGCAUGGGUGGUGGUGGAAAGCUUUUGCGGUGUGGGAUGGGCCCGCGGCCUAUCAGCUUGUUGGUGGGGUGAUGGCCUACCAAGGCGACGACGGGUAGCCGGCCUGAGAGGGUGACCGGCCACACUGGGACUGAGAUACGGCCCAGACUCCUACGGGAGGCAGCAGUGGGGUAUAUUGCACAAUGAGCGCAAGCCUGAUGCAGCGACGCCGCGUGAGGGAUGACGGCCUUCGGGUUGUAAACCUCUUUCAGCACCGACGAAGCGCAAGUGACGGUAGGUGCAGAAGAAGGACCGGCCAACUACGUGCCAGCCGCCGCAGUAA